rnacentral:rRNA from 1 species
CAAUGAAAAUUUAAUGGCCGCAGUAUUUUGACUGUGCAAAGGUAGCAUAAUCAUUAGUUUUUUAAUUAGAAACUGGAAUGAAGGGUUGAACGAGAAAAUAACUGUCUCUUAAUAAAUUAAUUAGAAUUUUAUUAUUUAGUCAAAAAGCUAAGAUGUAUUUAAAAGACGAGAAGACCCUAUAGAGUUUUAUAAUAUUUUUUAUAAAUUAUUUUAUUUAAAAAUAAUAUUUUUAUAAUUUAUAUUAUUUUAUUGGGGUGAUAGAAAAAUUUAAAUAACUUUUUUGUUAAAUUAAACAUUAAUAUAUGAAUUAUUGAUCCAUUUUUUAUGAUUAUAAGAUUAAAUUACCUUAGGGAUAACAGCGUAAUUUUUUUUAAGAGUUCAAAUCGAUAAAAAAGUUUGCGACCUCGAUGUUGGAUUAAAAUAAAUUUUUGGUGUAGAAGCUAAAAUAUUGGGUCUGUUCGACCUUUAAAAUUUUACAUGAUCUGAGUUUAAACCGGUGUGAGCCAGGUUGGUUUCUAUCUUUAAAUUAAAAAAUAUUUUAGUACGAAAGGACCAAAUAUUUAUAAAAUUUAU